rnacentral:rRNA from 1 species
CAGCCGUAAACAAUGUGCGUUAGGUGUGUCGGUAACCACGCGUUACUGAUGCGCCGAAGAGAAAUCGUGAAACGCACCACCUGGGAAGUACGGUCGCAAGGCUGAAACUUAAAGGAAUUGGCGGGGGGAGGCACCACAACAGGUGGAGCCUGCGGUUUAAUUGGAUUCAACGCCGGGAAGCUCACCGGAUAAGACAGCGGAAUGAUUGCCGGGCUGAAGACUCUGCAUGACUAGCUGAGAGGAGGUGCAUGGCGUAGACGUCU